UUUGACUAGGCUUAUUUGCGAAAAUAAAAAAGAACAAAAAUAUUUGCUAUUUUUAGAGUACAAAUUUUGUGUUUUAAAGAAAGAAAAUUACAAAAAUAUGCUUUAUAGGUUUUAAUUUUGCUUAGCCAGUCAUUUAUUUUAAGAUUUUUUUUUCGGUUAUCUAAAAAUAGUUAUUAAAUAUUUUUUGUUUUUAUAUUAAAAAAAAGCAAAUAGAAUUGUACCACCUCACCACAAAAUGACAAAGUUUGAUAACAAAUUUUAUCACAAAAGUGAAGGGGUUCACGUGAAUUGAGUUAAUAUAUUGUUGAGGGUGGGGCCCAAAAAAAAAAAGAAAAACAAAGAAGAAAAGAAAGUGAAAAAGGGAAUAUACACGUACAGCAUAUAAAAGAAUGGAACGGGGAAUCAUUUUUUGGGGGAGAAUAGAUAUAUUAUAGAGAGAGAAAUCAACGGACAAGGGAGAGAAAAGAAAAGAUCCCAUCAUCCUCCUCGUGAUAUCAUCAUCUUCUUCAUUUAUUUUCCAUACCAAAACCCACCAUUAAACUACUAGCCCACCACCAUCGUCCCCCAUCCCCUGUUCUCAUUUUUCGAUCAGUCACCACCCGUCCCCACACCAUAAAAAAAAAAGCUAGCCGCCAUUUUCCCCUCCUACACUACACAUCACCGCCGUAAUGACCUAAGAAUCAUAAUCAGUUUUCUUCACGUUAAAAAAAAAAAAUCCAAAACCUAUCAGCCGCACUUCCAACCUACACCUAAAAGGAUUCAGCCGCAACUCACAUAUUCACAUAGAAGAUUUUCCUAAAAGCUAGAUCAUCACUAAUCCAUAGACGGACCAUCAUCAACACAGCCGUAAUACACAUUUUUAGGAAUUUUUUAUGCCCCCGUACUUAGCAGCAAAAAGAAAAAAAACACACACACACACACUUCAGCUCAUUCACAUGCCCUGAGACAAUCUCUUUGCUCCAUUUUUCUGUAGGUUAGUUUCUUCUUCUUCCAUAAACUAACACAUCCCAAAACCACCAUAGAACGACCAUCGGAGCGUCGUAGUCACCAUUAAAACCACUAUAAAAUAGCUCUGUUUUCUACCUUCUCUACCAUAUAAACACCCACUAAAAAGAGCCAAGACAGUGUCUUUUCGAUGGAGGUAAAUGGACGUUUCCGAGUAGCGUUCAAGGGUUCGAGUUUGUCGAGGUUUCCGGUGAGGCUCUCUGAUCGUGUUUGCUAUUUCCGGUAGAAGUACAACACCAGAUUCGAUUGUAUUUUCAUCUUUCUGAUAAAUUGCAAGAAGAUUUUAUUCCAUAAAGGUGAGGAUUGCUUUAGAAUCUGAGAAAAGGGACAAAAAGGAGAAGAUAAAUCUUCUUGAAGAACCAUUAUGGACAAUGUAUUGUAAUGGCAAAACAAAUGGCUAUGGUGUGAAAAGAGAAGCUACAAAAGAAGAUCUCAAUGUGAUGGAGAUUAUCAAGCCGGUGUCGAUGGGCGCCGGCGUCUUGUCGGGAAAAUCCGACAUGGAAAGGCCGGAUGGCAAGAUGACGUACAUGAGGGCACAUUUUGAACGUGUGGUUAAAUCAAAGGAUGCUGAAACCCUAUACAUGUUGAGCCCAGAUGCAAAUGAUGGACCUGAAUUGAGUAUUUUCUUUGUAAGAAUAUAAUGUGUAUACAAUGAUCUUUGGGUCUUUUAAUUUUAUUAUUAGUUGGAUCCCCUCUAAAAAUGAUUAGUGAGGGAUUUAUGAUAGAGUUUAGGCUAGAUAUAUCGUCAGUGUAAGAAUUUAUUUACACAAUCAAGCCACCAGGGUCAGGAACGAAGCUACAAUUCUGAUUAUGGAUUCAACAGAA